rnacentral:rRNA from 1 species
GGGUUGUGAGGUUAAGCGACUAAGCGUACACGGUGGAUGCCCUGGCAGUCAGAGGCGAUGAAGGACGUGCUAAUCUGCGAAAAGCGUCGGUAAGGUGAUAUGAACCGUUACAGCCGGCGAUGUCCGAAUGGGGAAACCCAGUGCAAUUCGUUGCACUAUCGUUAACUGAAUACAUAGGUUAACGAGGCGAACCGGGGGAACUGAAACAUCUAAGUACCCCGAGGAAAAGAAAUCAACCGAGAUUCCCCCAGUAGCGGCGAGCGAACGGGGAGCAGCCCAGAGUCUGAAUCAGCUUGUGUGUUAGUGGAACGGUCUGGAAAGUCCGACGGUACAGGGUGAUAGUCCCGUACACCAAAAUGCACAGGUUGUGAACUCGAAGAGUAGGGCGGGACACGUGGUAUCCUGUCUGAAUAUGGGGGGACCAUCCUCCAAGGCUAAAUACUCCUGACUGACCGAUAGUGAACCAGUACCGUGAGGGAAAGGCGAAAAGAACCCCGGCGAGGGGAGUGAAAAAGAACCUGAAACCGUGUACGUACAAGCAGUGGGAGCACCUUAGGGUGUGACUGCGUACCUUUUGUAUAAUGGGUCAGCGACUUAUAUUCUGUAGCAAGGUUAACCGUAUAGGGGAGCCGCAGGGAAACCGAGUCUUAACUGGGCGUUAAGUUGCAGGGUAUAGACCCGAAACCCGGUGAUCUAGCCAUGGGCAGGUUGAAGGUUGGGUAACACUAACUGGAGGACCGAACCGACUAAUGUUGAAAAAUUAGCGGAUGACUUGUGGCUGGGGGUGAAAGGCCAAUCAAACCGGGAGAUAGCUGGUUCUCCCCGAAAGCUAUUUAGGUAGCGCCUCGUGAACUCAUCUUCGGGGGUAGAGCACUGUUUCGGCUAGGGGGUCAUCCCGACUUACCAACCCGAUGCAAACUACGAAUACCGAAGAAUGUUAUCACGGGAGACACACGGCGGGUGCUAACGUCCGUCGUGAAGAGGGAAACAACCCAGACCGCCAGCUAAGGUCCCAAAGUCAUGGUUAAGUGGGAAACGAUGUGGGAAGGCACAGACAGCCAGGAUGUUGGCUUAGAAGCAGCCAUCAUUUAAAGAAAGCGUAAUAGCUCACUGGUCGAGUCGGCCUGCGCGGAAGAUGUAACGGGGCUAAACCAUGCACCGAAGCUGCGGCAGCGACACUAUGUGUUGUUGGGUAGGGGAGCGUUCUGUAAGCCUGCGAAGGUGACCUGUGAGGGUUGCUGGAGGUAUCAGAAGUGCGAAUGCUGACAUAAGUAACGAUAAAGCGGGUGAAAAGCCCGCUCGCCGGAAGACCAAGGGUUCCUGUCCAACGUUAAUCGGGGCAGGGUGAGUCGACCCCUAAGGCGAGGCCGAAAGGCGUAGUCGAUGGGAAACAGGUUAAUAUUCCUGUACUUGGUGUUACUGCGAAGGGGGGACGGAGAAGGCUAUGUUAGCCGGGCGACGGUUGUCCCGGUUUAAGCAUGUAGGCUGGUUAUCCAGGCAAAUCCGGAUAAUCAAGGCUGAGGUGUGAUGACGAGGCACUACGGUGCUGAAGUAACAAAUGCCCUGCUUCCAGGAAAAGCCUCUAAGCAUCAGGUAACAUCAAAUCGUACCCCAAACCGACACAGGUGGUCAGGUAGAGAAUACCAAGGCGCUUGAGAGAACUCGGGUGAAGGAACUAGGCAAAAUGGUGCCGUAACUUCGGGAGAAGGCACGCUGGUGUGUAGGUGAAGCCCCUGCGGGUGGAGCUGAGACCAGUCGAAGAUACCAGCUGGCUGCAACUGUUUAUUAAAAACACAGCACUGUGCAAACACGAAAGUGGACGUAUACGGUGUGACGCCUGCCCGGUGCCGGAAGGUUAAUUGAUGGGGUUAUCCGUAAGGAGAAGCUCUUGAUCGAAGCCCCGGUAAACGGCGGCCGUAACUAUAACGGUCCUAAGGUAGCGAAAUUCCUUGUCGGGUAAGUUCCGACCUGCACGAAUGGCGUAAUGAUGGCCAGGCUGUCUCCACCCGAGACUCAGUGAAAUUGAACUCGCUGUGAAGAUGCAGUGUACCCGCGGCAAGACGGAAAGACCCCGUGAACCUUUACUAUAGCUUGACACUGAACAUUGAGCCUUGAUGUGUAGGAUAGGUGGGAGGCUUUGAAGCGUGGACGCCAGUCUGCGUGGAGCCAACCUUGAAAUACCACCCUUUAAUGUUUGAUGUUCUAACGUUGGCCCCUAAUCGGGGUUGCGGACAGUGUCUGGUGGGUAGUUUGACUGGGGCGGUCUCCUCCCAAAGCGUAACGGAGGAGCACGAAGGUUAGCUAAUCCUGGUCGGACAUCAGGAGGUUAGUGCAAUGGCAUAAGCUAGCUUGACUGCGAGCGUGACGGCGCGAGCAGGUGCGAAAGCAGGUCAUAGUGAUCCGGUGGUUCUGAAUGGAAGGGCCAUCGCUCAACGGAUAAAAGGUACUCCGGGGAUAACAGGCUGAUACCGCCCAAGAGUUCAUAUCGACGGCGGUGUUUGGCACCUCGAUGUCGGCUCAUCACAUCCUGGGGCUGAAGUAGGUCCCAAGGGUAUGGCUGUUCGCCAUUUAAAGUGGUACGCGAGCUGGGUUUAGAACGUCGUGAGACAGUUCGGUCCCUAUCUGCCGUGGGCGCUGGAGAAUUGAGGGGGGCUGCUCCUAGUACGAGAGGACCGGAGUGGACGCAUCACUGGUGUUCGGGUUGUCAUGCCAAUGGCACUGCCCGGUAGCUAAAUGCGGAAGAGAUAAGUGCUGAAAGCAUCUAAGCACGAAACUUGCCCCGAGAUGAGUUCUCCCUGAGACUUUAAGUCUCCUGAAGGAACGUUAAAGACGAUGACGUUGAUAGGCCGGGUGUGUAAGCGCAGCGAUGCGUUGAGCUAACCGGUACUAAUGAACCGUGAGGCUUAACCUUACAACGCCGAAG